UGGGGGGGCUGCAGGAAGGUGACUCACUCACUGGCAUGCUGGGAGAGCACAGGGCCCGAGUGUGAGUUUGCGUGUGAAUGUGUGAGCAUGUGUGAGUUCCUGCGUGUGUGACUUCAGGCGUGCGUGUGUGUGUGUGUGUGUGUUGGAAUGGGGGGGGGGUCCUGGAAAGGCCGAGAGCCUUGGAAUCUGAGGAGUCUGCAGUCCAUUCUUGAUACUGCUUUACUUUCCAAAAAGUUAUGACAACAAAGCCACCCUGGGGCCCAGACCUGGAAGCCGUCAGCUAUGGAGGACCCUGGAAGCAGACAGAGAAAGGUUUGGAGUUUUCAGUGAGAUGACACCAGCGUGCCUGCGGAAGUGGCUGUGUCUCCUCUUGCCCACCCAAUGCCGCCCCAGAAGCCCAGGGAUGGAGGCCCAGGAGACGGAUCCCACAAAAGCCAGCACCCACUCCACCCCAGGAGCUCAGCAAACAUCCACAGAGUGAACAUUCCAAGCAACAAAGUCCAGGAGCCACGUUCCAGCCAUGGGGCCUCUGCACCUGCUGUUCUCUUCACAUGGCCUGCCCUUCCCCCAGAAAGAGAGAAGAGGCCCUCUCUGGUUGUCCCAUCGAAACUCCACCCUUCUCUCACCCCCCCUCCCAGCUGUAUCCCUUCUCUGCAGCCCUAACAUGCAUUCCACUUUAUUUGCCUUGUCUACUGUCUGCCUCCCUAACUACUAAGUCAGUUCCAGAGGCUCCAGGAUUUUUGCCUUUUUAGUUUAGCCCUGGUUCCCCAGGGCCUUAGAGACUAGUGUGCAGUGCUUAGCAGCCAGUAGAUGCUCAAUAAAUGCUUGCUGAUUGACUGGGGUGAGCUCCCCGUCCAUGGAGCUAUUUCAAGCCAAGCCUAGACGAUCUUUCAGGGCUAGUUCUAACCUAAGACUUGGUAGUUCCAUGACUCUCUUCCUAGCCCAGACCGAAAAGGAACUUUCAGCAGGAACCCCGGACUGGGAUCUGAGAUGGGGCUCCUUGGAGGACUCUGACUAGGAAGAGAGACGGGAGGCCGCACCAAAAACACAAGCCCUUCAUGAGUCUCCCAGGCGUAGGUCUGGGGAAUCCCCCAGGCCCCUCAGGCGCGACCCCGCUGGCCCUGGAUCUCCAGGACGCGUCCCUCUGACCUGCCUGCCCGGCCUGUGAGUCCCCGGCAGCAACCAUGCAGACACAGGCUGCCCAGCGCCAGGGCCAGGCCGGAUUAUCAUACAUUAAGACAUAAUUACUCUGCGGAAAUUUACAAUACAAAGCGCCCUCCCCAAGUUGGCUUCAGAAGGAUUCCAAGGAUACAAAGACCUGCUGUGUCUGCCACCGAC